AUUGAACGCUGGCGGAAUGCUUUACACAUGCAAGUCGAACGGCAGCACGGGGCAACCUGGUGGCGAGUGGCGAACGGGUGAGUAAUACAUCGGAACGUGCCCAAUCGUGGGGGAUAACGUAGCGAAAGUUACGCUAAUACCGCAUACGAUCUACGGAUGAAAGCGGGGGAUCGCAAGACCUCGCGCGAGUGGAGCGGCCGAUGUCAGAUUAGGUAGUUGGUGGGGUAAAGGCUCACCAAGCCAACGAUCUGUAGCUGGUCUGAGAGGACGACCAGCCACACUGGAACUGAGACACGGUCCAGACUCCUACGGGAGGCAGCAGUGGGGAAUUUUGGACAAUGGGCGCAAGCCUGAUCCAGCCAUUCCGCGUGCAGGAUGAAGGCCUUCGGGUUGUAACUAGCUUUUGUUACGGAACGAAACGGACGAGCUCUAAUACAGUUGCUAAUAGACGGUACCGUAAGAAUAAG
rnacentral:rRNA from 1 species